CAGUAGUCGAGGAUAUUUCUUUCGGUGUACACACGUUUGUGAAGUCAGUGCGGAAAAAUAAAUUAUCGAAAACAGCAAAAAAUUAAACUUAGUAAUUUGUUGAGAAAAUUUACGUUUGUCAUGAUGCAAGAAGUAACUGGUAUGUUAGAAGAAGAAUUAUCCAAACAGAAAAGAGUUUGGGUGAGAAAAUGGAUAGAUGACAGAGAUAAAAAUUGAGGUUCUGCUAUGUUGCUAAACCAGUUGAGAAUUGAAGAUCCUCGGGAAUAUAAACUGGCUUUGAGAAUGACUUCAAACAACUUCGAGGAAUUGCUUAUGUUGUUAUCGAGCUCCAUUCAGCGUCAAGACACAUUUAUGAGAGACGCCUGGCUGACCUUUGGCUGGCAGCCAAAGUGAAACUCGAAAUCACGCUGACAUUUUUGGCUUCUGGCAUGUCGUUUCGAAAUCUCAGUCACUUUUAUCGUGUCUCGAUACCGUCUAUUUCUAAGUUAAUACCGGAAGUGUGCUGGGCAAUAUAUGAGUCAUUGAAAACACAGAUUAAGAUUCCAGAUGGAGAGGAUGAAUGGAAAAUUAUCGAGUACGGAUUUAACACCAGAUGGAAUUUUCCCUCGUGUUACGGAGCAAUUGAUGGAAAGCAUAUUCCUAUCAAAGCUCCACCAAAUAGUGGAAGUAAAUUUUACAACUAUAAAAAAACAAAUAGUAUCGUUUUGAUGGCUAUUGUAGACCAUAACUACUGUUUUUUAUACAUCGAUGUUGGUGCGAAUGGCAGCGCUUCUGAUGGGGGGACUUCUUUAAAAAUUCUUCCAUUUAUCGCCGUUUAGAAGAUGGAUUACUGCCAAUGGAUGGAAUAAUUGUUGGCGAUGCAGCUUUUCCGUUAAAGACUUAUUUACUAAAACCGUAUCCAGGUACGCAACUGACUACCGGUGAAAAAAUCUUCAAUUACAGAUUAUCUCGUGCGAGGCGUAUUGUGAAAAAUGCUUUUGGAAUUCUAGUUUCCAGAUUCCGUGUGUUUGAAAAAGCAAUUCCCACCAGUUUAAAAACAGUUGAUGCAAUCGUCUGUGCAUCCUGUGCCCUUCAUAAUUGGUUGCGAAAAAAAUCUAACUCCUACAUAACACCUACUUGUGUAGACAGAGAGGACUCUGAAGGACAAAUAAUACCAGGUACUUGGAGAUCGGAAAUAACUCUAUUAACAAGUAUAACUGAUCAACUUAGAGGUAACUACUCCGUAAAUGCGAAAGAGAGAAUAGAUUUAUUAAAAGAAUACUUUAUGACGAAUGGAAGUGUACCGUGACAAUUAAACAGAAUUUAUUAAGUUA